UCUCCCACCCCUUCAUCUUCCCUUGAUUACUGUUUUCUUGAAAUUAGCUCCUUAAAAUUCUUACAGCCAAUCUCCAAGACCUCCCAGCUGACACAUCUAUCUUACGCUGCCGCUCUCCUCCUUCGCAAGGACUCGCAUGGAGCCGGGGAAGUGCUUCACGUUUUGUUUGCUAAUAAAGACCAUGGAGGGAUGUUAAACCGAUAGCACCUACCAUACAAGAAGAUGGCUUGAAAAAAACCGUGGCCAGCAGUCAGAGCGGUUCCCUGCACAGCAGUGAGCUCUCUGAGGUAUUAAGUCGUGUCUCUUGGUUACUGACGAUGGCAUUCAAGUCUCAGGUGUGACUGUAUGAAUUCACUGCAGGCCUGAAAAAUGGAGAAAUGACUCCCCGAAGACAUUUUCCUAAUCCAAAAAUGCAGCGGAGUCCGAAGCAACAAAAGAAAACAGAUUCUGCCUUGUUCUAGCGAAGUUUUGCCAUCCCCGUGUCUCUGGGGAUCUGGAAUCCUCGUUAUCACUGAGGAGCUGGUGGCAGUCCCAGGCACAGAGUGACUGAGCGCACCGGCCCGGGCUCAUUUAUUGCUACAGAUGAGACAAAUGCGGAGAGAGCAGGGCAGGGGGGAGCUGGCAGGGAAGAUGCAAUGCUGCCAACCCCAACUGCUGCAGCUUGAAGACACAUCUUUAGAAGAUGUUCCCAUGACACAAUUAGGGAGGUAAUUAAAUAAUCCUGUGAAACACAGCUUGGCAGCUAAAUGUAUUGUAGGCAAGGAGCUGAAGUGCUAUGCUUCUGUCCGUGGCAGGGGGGAGGCAUGAAAAUAAUCUGUUGUCAUUUUUACCAUUGCAACAGUUUGUAAAGUGUAGUUUUUUAUUCCCUAAAAGUCCAGACAGAAGUAAACUUAGUGGGUUGCUGAAAGUGCUGUUCAUCCAGAGGACUUUGGGCAAGCUGUUCUAGGAUAACAAUAGCAGAUGGGAUGCGAUGGGAGAUGCAAUUACAGAAAAAGGCAAUGGGAUGGACGUAAGCACAGGUGAGCCAUACACACGGCACGACACCUGGAAAGUGCUUGGCACAUCUGAAAUUGCUGCGGAUCCUCCGGGUGCUCGGUGGAAGCUGGCUCAGAUCUUCACACUGCAGGCACAUGCCGGUUGCAGGUGGAGGUAACAGGGUUAACCAGUUGCUCGUGCUCAUUUUUAUGGGACAAGCGAAUGCAGAAUUCCACCAUGAACGCAUCCAACUGGAAUAACUUCAAGGCACAGGCAGGACUGUUCAAAUUUUCUGGGUUGCUCUUUUGUCAGGGGACAUGAAUGUUCUGAAUUGCGCAGCAAUUAUGAAUGUAAUAUCUUGACAAUGUAAAAUAUCAUUAAUGACUGAUCUAAGGGAACUUGCAAAUGACCAUGUAGUUACACAGUGUUGGCAGCAUAAAUAGCAAUUAAUGUUGUAACUGUAGCUGUUUGUACUCAGAUUAUAUCAGGGAAUCCCACAGAGUGGGAAGGAGUGUCAAAUGUUCUAACACAGGAGAAAAUAAUAAUGAUAGUGAUAAUAUGAAACUGAUAAUUAAGGAUCUUCCCUCUGAUACAUCUGUGAAAGAAAUAGGGAUGCUCAGGAGUGCAGAAACCUGAAAAGCAGUUUGUGUGUAUCUGUGGCUCUGUCCAUCCAUCUGUCCCUAACAAUCCCUUUGACUUGCCAGAUUUGUUAUGGCAGUUAACUCAUGAAAUUUUGCUUUAGCUUAAACUGCAGAGGUCUGUAUUCUUGGGAAAAGGCCUGGGAUUCUGGAUUUUGCUCUCAGUGAUUUUUGCAGUAAUUAUCUGAAGUAUGCAGGACAUGGAUGUGGUUUAACGGGAAGCUGAAAAGUGCUCCGGUGCAAAGAUAAAUCUGGACUCCCUCCAGAGCCCUCACUGAAGGCCGGUGAGUGUCUGUCACAGCCACAAGCCAUGACGCUCCGGGAGCACCAAAAUGAUGCCCAGCUCACCAACAGCAGCAAAGGGUUCAUAUCUCUGUCUGAUGCACUGCUCAGGAAGAUGUUCAUCACUCAUGAGAAGGAGAGAAAGCAGCCAGUUAGCCAGGGUUUGCUUCACAAGGAAGCUUGGGAAGAAGAGUUUGUAUUUCACUGCACACAGAAAUUGCUGAUGCUGUUUUUUUCCCCUUCUCUUGGCUAUAAAUGAGAUCUGGAGAGAGGGAUGGAGAGACAGAAAGAACAAGGAAAAAAGACUUGAUAAAAUGCCAUCCUGAUCUUGGUCAAUAAACUUAUUUCCAAUUAGGAGCUCCAGCAGCAGCAGGUGCACAAUGUAUGUUCUGCUGCAGGGUACUCAUCCUGGUGGUAAGGAAGCCAGAUUUUAAUAAUAUUUGCAUCAGCAAGAAUGUGAAGUAAUCCCAGUGAAAUUAUGGCAUUUAUCCUGGAUUUGUACUGGUAUCAAAGAAAGCAAAAUCUGUCUGAUUUACGUCAAGAGCCUUCUUUGCUUUAAUAACUGACACAGCCCUGCACUGCAGCUUCCCUCGUUCAGGCUUAAGGAUUCCCCACUUUUCUUUAGUACAGGGCUUGGGGAUCUCCUUUCUCUGCUCAGUGGUAAAUGCUCUGACCUUCCUUUCAGAGAUGGUGGCCACUUCUUCCCUGGUUGUAAUUCCUGAUUUGAUGUUCGGCCCUGGUAUAUGCAGGGGUAACUCCAUCAUGUGUGUUGGAGGCAACAUCUUUUGUGCUGGGCCUGGGAUACCCACUGCCUGGUGGGGAUACAGCACUAAUAGAGCAUUUGUAUUCGACGUGAGGGAAGCUGCAAAAGGAAUGAACAAGCUAAAGUGUGGAGAGAGGGUUGCAGCUGGAUGGAAGAGGCAGGCAGACAAGAGGAGAGAUGAAACAGUAAAUUUGUGACAGUGGCCACAAAAAGUGGCAGUGGUGGGGCAUUAGGUGAUGCAGGUGGGCAUGGAGUUCUUCCAAAUCAGCUCAUCAGAGAACCUGUCCCACAGCUCCCACCCUCCCUUCUCUGUACCAGUGACUGCUGCAUUCAAAAUUCAUCUGCCUAGCCAAUCAGUCCCAGGUGAAUACUGACAGCAAAAGGCCCGUUACAGGGUGAAGUCCAAAGACCUAGAUGGAUAGAUGUGAAUAGCAAAUGCGGAUGAGAGCUGGCAGAAAGCUUUAAAUGCGGUGACGAGGACAUGAGCACGGGAGAGCAGCAGAGGAAACACUGAGCUCUCCAAAUGUGUCAGUCUCACAAAGAGGUGACAGCUGUCAGGGAAGAUGACAUCCUGAUGGAUUGUCACCUUCAUCGAAAGAGAAAUAAGCCCUGCUUAUUAUGGAAUAUUUUGCUUUAAAGGUGCACUGAUGUUGUUUUUUUAUUGUUUUCCAGAAUCAGAGAGAGUUGGUCUAAGUUCUGAUCUCUGUUAGAUGCCAUUAGCAGUUUCCUAUUGAAAUCCAAAAGCCUUAUGCAUCUCACCAGAAGCAUGGUUUGGUAUCACUGGAGCUGGGCUUCUCACAUGUGAAUGGAAGACCAGGGGAUGCCCAGAUAACCCGGGAAAGGCUCUGGCAUGACCUCAAGUGAGUGUGUCCUGGCAGUUUGGAGGAUCCAUGAUAUAUUCCUCUCCUCCAUUCUCCUCAGUGAACCACGAUGCUGGUUAAACCACAGUGCUAAACACUAACUCAAAAGACAUAUCUACACCUCUGCUUUACUAAACCAUUUCGUUCUGCACCAAGAUUUAAAAAAAAAUAAAAAAAUCUCCCUGCCAAGCAUGCCUGUUCCUCUGUGUGCCAGGAAGUGAGGCACUGCCGGUCCCAGCACCUUCUGGAGCAGGUUGUUGGGACACCAGUGCUUUGUUGAUGCUGUUCUCUAUUUUUCCUUGCCAAGGAAAGACAGAUGAUGUACACCCCUGUGCACAUUGCUUGGCACUAUGAUGUUUCAUCUGGGACUGUCCUCCCACUGGGAAGAGUGCAGUUUGAGCAUAAGGGAUGCUACAGAAUAAACCUGUAGAGGGAGUGAGGGACUAGCAGAGCUGAAAAAAGAACGGGAGAAAA